rnacentral:rRNA from 1 species
AUUGAACGCUGGCGGCAUGCCUUACACAUGCAAGUCGAACGGCAGCACGGGUGCUUGCACCUGGUGGCGAGUGGCGAACGGGUGAGUAAUACAUCGGAACGUACCUUAUCGUGGGGGAUAACGCAGCGAAAGCUGUGCUAAUACCGCAUACGCCCUGAGGGGGAAAGCGGGGGAUCGCAAGACCUCGCGCGAUUAGAGCGGCCGAUGCCGGAUUAGCUAGUUGGUGGGGUAAAAGCCCACCAAGGCGACGAUCAGUAGCUGGUCUGAGAGGACGAUCAGCCACACUGGGACUGAGACACGGCCAAGACUCCUACGGGAGGAAGCAGUGGGGAAUUUUGGACAAUGGGGGCAACCCUGAUCCAGCAAUGCCGCGUGAGUGAAGAAGGCCUUCGGGUUGUAAAGCUCUUUUGUCAGGGAAGAAACACCGGCUCUAACACAGUCCGGGAAUGACGGUACCUGAAGAAUAAGCACCGGCUAACUACGUGCCAGCAGCCGCCGUAA